UCACCGACCGCAAAUAGCUUUUGAAAAUAUAUCACAAAGCUCAAACUGGUCUCUAAGAAAGAUUCCUAGACGGAGAUGGUGUCCUUUUUUGAGAAGCAGUUGUCUCAAAAGGAAGCUAUCAAUGCUCUUCCUCAUUAUCCAAAUGAGCAGAUUAUGUGGGAUAAAAGUGUUGUACCUAGCAUAAAUUGUGAGGCUGGAACCAAGAUGGAAGCAGUAGCAUCUCAU